rnacentral:misc_RNA from 1 species
GAUGAAGAACGCAGCGAAAUGCGAUAAGUAGUGUGAAUUGCAGAAUUCAGUGAAUCAUCGAAUCUUUGAACGCACAUUGCGCCCGCCAGUAUUCUGGCGGGCAUGCCUGUCCGAGCGUCAUUUCAACCAUCAAGCCCCCGGGCUUGUGUUGGGGACCUGCGGCUGCCCGCAGGCCCUGAAAACCAGUGGCGGGCUCGCUGUCACACCGAGCGUAGUAGCAAUCACCUCGCUCAGGGCGUGCUGCGGGUUCCGGCCGUUAAACAGCCUUACAAACCCCAAGGUUGACCUCGGAUCAGGUAGGAAGACCCGCUGAACUUAAGCAUAUCAAUAAGCGGAGGA